AACGCACAUUGCGCUCCUCGGUGUUCCGAGGAGCAUGCCUGUUUGAGUGUCAGUAAAUUCUCGACCCCUCUCGAUUUAUUUCGAGGGGGAGCUUGGAUGGUGGGGGUUGCUGGAGUCCCAGGACUCGAGCUCUCCUGAAAUGCAUUGGCUUGCGGUCGACUUUCUCCUUUGCGCGACAAGGCUUUCGGUGUGAUGAUGAUCGCCGUUCGCCGAAGCGCAUGAACGAAGGUCUCGUGCCUCCAAUACGUCGACUCUUCUCCGAAGAGUCUUCCUUCUUUAUGUUUGACCUCAAAUCAGGUAGGACUACCCGCUGAACUUAA
rnacentral:misc_RNA from 1 species